AUCUUUUUAGUAUAUUUAAAUUAUAUUUGACUUCCAAUCAAAAGAUCUUGAUUAAGAAAAGAUA
rnacentral:tRNA from 1 species